GGGGGUGUAGCUCAGCUGGCUAGAGCAGUGGACUCUUAAUCCGAAGGUCCUGGGUUCGAAUCCCAGCGCCCCCACCA
rnacentral:tRNA from 1 species